rnacentral:lncRNA from 1 species
CAAGUAACGGGAAGAGCAUCCCAGCUAUAACCAAAAAUACAAAGUUAUAGGCAGACAAAACAAGAGACGCCACCAAGAUUUUGUCCUUUUAACAAAUUGAUAACAUGAAGAGAUGAUAUUAAGAGUGUUCGUCAGACUGUUCCUAACAACAACGAAGUAACAAUAUUAUAAACGGGAAGAGCAUCACAGCUAAUAAACCAAAAAUACAAAGUUAUAGGCAGCAAAACAAGAGACACUACUGAGAUUUUGACCUUUUAACAAAUUGAUUACAUGAAGAGAUGAUAUUAAGAGUGUUCGUCAGACUGUCCUAACAACAACGAAGUACAUAUUUAUAAACGGGAAGAGCAUCACAGCUAUAACCAAAAAUACAAAGUUAUAGGCAGCAAAACAAGAGACGCCACCAAGAUUUUGACCUUUUAACAAAUUGAUAACAUGAAGAGAUGAUAUUAAG